GAUGAACGCUGGCGGCGUGCCUAAUACAUGCAAGUCGAGCGAACAGACGAGGAGCUUGCUCCUCUGACGUUAGCGGCGGACGGGUGAGUAACACGUGGAUAACCUACCUAUAAGACUGGGAUAACUUCGGGAAACCGGAGCUAAUACCGGAUAAUAUAUUGAACCGCAUGGUUCAAUAGUGAAAGACGGUUUUGCUGUCUCUUAUAGAUGGAUCCGCGCCGCAUUAGCUAGUUGGUAAGGUAACGGCUUACAAAGGCAACGAUGCGUAGCCGACCUGAGAGGGUGAUCGGCCACACUGGAACUGAGACACGGUCCAGACUCCUACGGGAGGCAGCAGUAGGGAAUCUUCCGCAAGGGGCGAAAGCCUGACGGAGCAACGCCGCGGGAGUGAUGAAGGUCUUCGGAUGGUAAAACUCUGUUAUUAGGGAAGAACAAAUGUGUAAGUAACUAUGCACGUCUUGACGGUACCUAAUCAGAAAGCCACGGCUAACUACGUG
rnacentral:rRNA from 1 species